GAUACCAACUUCACUUGCUCCUGCUGGGCCUCGGUCUUCUGCUGCUGGUCAUCAUCUGUGUGUUUGGAUGCCAAAUUACCAAGCUUCAGAGGGACCUGUUGACCCUGAGAACAACUUCCCUCAAUUUGUCAUCCAGCACCGCAGCUGAGAUCCAGGCACUGAACAGCCAGGAUGGCAGGUUCCAAGGAGCGGUGACAUCUCUGCAGAGCGAGCUGAAGGAACACAAGCAGCUGCUGCAAGCAGGCCAAGGCUUGAAGGACAAGUUGCUGACUCUGGAGAGCAACCUGGAGAAAGAGAAGCAGGAUCUCAAAGCAGGUCA